rnacentral:lncRNA from 1 species
CUCUGUAAUCAAGUCUGAGGCUUAAAGAUAUAAUGGAGCCCUGAAAACACGGGUCAAUCUUAGCAGCACAAGAGCUAAAAAAGCAACCAUUUUGUGUCCCGUUCCUUACAAAGAGACCUUGACAAAACCCGAACCCAGUGCCAAGCAAGACAGGGCUUCUCUGUACACUGUCACACCAAGCCGGGUGAAAGUGUUCACCAGGAGGCAGUUGGCAAUCUCCAGAACACAGGAAAUCCUGUGGGUUGAAAUUUCAAGCAACUCAAAAUGACUCAAAGAGCUACACUGAAGGACCGAAACUAUAAAAUGCUUUGAAAAACAAAAGACCAAACUCAAGGUACUAGAUUUGGUGGUGACCAAAAGCAGUCAACAAGAGAAAAGUCAAACUGGACUCAGGGGGCUUAAAGGACAUGUAAAACACUCAUGUAUCAGGACACUAUCGGUCGGGUGAUAAGGCCAACGGAACCGGUCCAGACUGGAAGAGGCUCCACGGGUGGCGUGCCACAUGGAGUGGCAAACCAAAAUCCUGAUCCACAGCAUCCUGCCACAGAAACCCAGUCUGAAGCAGCUGAACAACUGGAUUGACAGUAUUAAGUGAUGUCACUAGCUGUCUUCAGGGGCGAUGGCAACACCGUGGCUGUCAGCCUGAUCUCAGAGACGUAUGCAAAAGAGUCACCACUUAAAUAACACAGCACCGGGGGCUGACUCUGAAACAGGACAGGGGACUGGAGAAGUGGCUUGCUUAGCACGUGCAAAGCUCCGGGUCCCAUCCUCGGCACCACAUAAAACCUG